CUCCUCAUUUCUUUGAUGAGUUCAGCUGAUGCUGCUUUGUCACCAUCUCUAAGAUGCG
rnacentral:sRNA from 1 species